rnacentral:lncRNA from 1 species
AAAGAAUUUAUUCUUUUCGUGGGCAAAUACCACUUCACUAAAAUUUUUAAAAAGAUAUUAAUCAAAAGUGGAGCUGAUGGAUUGGAUUUAGUAUUUAAGCAGCAAACCUGCCAUCUCUUGCAAAGUUCGUACCUUCAUUUAAAUCCUUGCAGGAAAAAGAAACAUUAAAAAAAAGGAAAAAGAGAAAUCCUUGCAGCAAAAGCAGUUUUAAUGCGUGUUCCAAUUAAAGGGAAGAGUAUUCCUCAUUGUGCUUUUUCCUCCCAAAUACAGGAAAAAACCACCCCUGAACUUUACUACUUAUCUGUGCUGCUGUCAGUGAGCAGCUUGGCUUCUACAGUGCUUCUCUCAGGCCUGGGGCUCAAUUGGCUGGCCAGUGUGACCUGUACAAGGCCAGAUGCCAACCAACAGUCUAAAGCUGCAUUGGGGCCCUGCUGAUCUCCUGCUGCAGAUGCACAUCUUUGGUACCAAGCCUCCCGGUGUGUGUCACAGCAGCCCUGCCACCUGACAGCAAGCACACCCCCAUCUCUCAUGAACAAACAUCUCUCACCACUAUUUCUAGAUGAAGGUUCAGCUGUACCUUAGAGCCAACAGGAAGCACGUUAAAACCGGCCAUUUGGAAGAAAGCUGUCUUUAAGCAUUAACAACCACUGACAAGAGGAACAAUUCAACUGAAAUCACACAAUUGACUUUAUAACCAAAUUCACUCCAAGGAAGGAUCUCUUAUUAAAUACUUCAAGAUCGUUAUUUUGACUUUCUGAACAUCCUUUUUGUGUUUCAAUGGAGUUAGUAUUAUAAGCUAGAUGACUGCUACAGAUACAUAUACCUAAAAGGAAGGAAAUAUGUAAACCUUGGUAAUGAACAAAAGUUUAAU